GUAGUCCACGCUGUAAACGAUGAGAACUAGAUGUUGGGAGGAUAAAACCUUUUAGUAUCGAAGCAAACGCGAUAAGUUCUCCGCCUGGGGAGUACGGCCGCAAGGUUAAAACUCAAAGGAAUUGACGGGGGCCUGCACAAGCGGUGGAGCAUGUGGUUUAAUUCGAUGCAACGCGAAGAACCUUACCUGGCCUUGACAUCCUUGGGAUCCUGCAGAGAUGCGGGAGUGCCUUCGGGAACCGAGAGACAGGUGCUGCAUGGCUGUCGUCAGCUCGUGUCGUGAGAUGUUGGGUUAAGUCCCGUAACGAGCGCAACCCCUAUCCUUAGUUACCAUCAAGUAAAGUUGGGGACUCUAGGGAGACUGCCGGUGACAAGCCGGA
rnacentral:rRNA from 1 species